rnacentral:rRNA from 1 species
UACGUAGGGUGCAAGCGUUAUCCGGAAUUAUUGGGCGUAAAGAGCUCGUAGGCGGUGUGUCGCGUCGGCCGUGAAAACUUGGGGCUUAACUCUGAGCGUGCGGUCGAUACGGGCAUCACUUGAGUUCGGCAGGGGAGACUGGAAUUCCUGGUGUAGCGGUGAAAUGCGCAGAUAUCAGGAGGAACACCGGUGGCGAAGGCGGAUCUCUGGGCCGUGUCCUGACGCUCGAGGCGCGAAAAGCUAGGGGGAGCAAACAGG